rnacentral:rRNA from 1 species
CCUACGGGCGGCUGCAGUGGGGAAUAUUGCACAAUGGGGGAAACCCUGAUGCAGCGACGCCGCGUGAGUGAAGAAGUAAUUCGUGACGUAAAGCUCUAUCAGCAGGGAAGAAAAUGACGGUACCUGAGGAAGAAGCCCCGGCUAACGACGUGCCAGCAGCCGCGGGAAUACGUAGGGGGCAAGCGUUAUCCGGAUUUACUGGGGGUAAAGGGAGCGUAGACGGUGCGCCAAGUCUGGAGUGAAAUGCCGCCGCUUAACGGCGGAACUGCUUUGGAAACUGGCGAACUAGAGUGCGGGAGGGGUAAGCUUACUUCCUAGUGUAGCGGUGAAAUGCGUAGAUAUUAGGAGGUACCCCGGUGGCGACGGCGGCUUACUUGACCGUAUCUGACGUUGAGGCUCGAAAGCGUGGGGAGCAAACAGGAUUAGAUACCCUUGUAGUC